ACCAGGAAGAGACUGACGUGUUAUUUCUGCUUCUCUCACACUGACUCUCUUCUCUACUGACAAAAACAAUAAAGAACCAGCCAUCAGUGAAGAACCAAGAGAAACACUUUACAAAAGGAACUUUUUUGAAGUUUGGUUCUGAAUAGAUAUUAGAUAUUUGUGAUUCUCGAGGGGAUUUGUUUUUCAAACUGUCGUUCAGAAAGUGAAAGUAAAGUGUAGAUCGCUGGAGCUCAAAGAGUGAAAAUGGCUUCUCUAUCUGAAGAUGAUUUUUCUUGUCCUGUAUGUCAGGAUAUCUUCAAGAAUCCUGUUGUUUUAUCAUGUAGUCACAGUGUCUGUAAAGAGUGUCUUCAAAAGUUCUGGAGAACAAAGAAAACUCAGGAGUGUCCCGUCUGCAGAAGAAGAUCCUCAAAAGUUGAUCCUCCAUGUAAUCUUGUGUUAAAAAACUUGUGUGAGUCGUUCCUGAAGGAGAGAAAUGAGGUUCGUUCAUCACGAUCUGAGGAGAUCUGCAGUUUACACAGUGAGAAACUCAAACUCUUCUGUCUGGAGGACAAACAGCCGGUGUGUGUCGUGUGUAUUAAUUCACAAAAACAUGACAAUCAUAAAUUCAGACCCAUCGAUGAAGUGGUUUCAUCAUAUAAGGAGGAGCUCAACACAGCACUGAAGUCAUUAAAGGAGAAACUUCAACGCAAUGAAAAAACAAAAGGAGAGUUUGAGAAAACAGCUGAACACAUCAAGUCUCAAGCUGAGCACACAGAGCGUCAGAUUAAACAGCAGUUUGAGAAGCUUCAUCAGUUUCUCAGAGAUGAAGAAGAAGCUACAAUCACUGCACUGAGAGAGGAAGAGGAGCAGAAGAAGCAGAUGAUGAAGGAGAAGCUGGAGGAGAUGAACAGACACAUCUCAGCUCUUUCACACACAAUCAAAGACACGGAGGAGAAGAUGAGAGCCAGUGACGUCUGCUUUCUGAAGGAGUUUCCAGUCUCGAUGGAAAGAGUCCAGAUCUCAUCACAGCCGGAUCCACAGACUCCUUCUGGAGCUUUGAUUCAUGUGCCACGUUACUUGGGGAACCUGUCCUUCAGAGUCUGGAAGAAGAUGCAGGACAUCGUCCAGAACACUCCUGUGAUUCUGGAUCCAAACACGGCUCAUCGAGAUCUCAUCGUGUCUGAGGAUCUGACCAGUGUGAGAGACAGCUGGAUCGAUCAACCUGUUCCUGAUAAUCCAGAGAGAUUUGACUCUCAUCGCUGUGUUCUGGGUUCAGAGGGUUUUAACUCAGGAACACACUGCUGGGAUGUGGAGGUUAAACAGAGUGAACGCUGGAUUAUAGGAGUAACUACAGCAUCAAACCAGAGGAAGGGACGGGGUUUCUAUAAGACUGGUGCCUGGAGUGUGUGGUAUAGUGUAUUAGGACUGUCUUCAGCUUCUGGUGUUCGUGUUAAACGUAAGCUUGAUCGUGUGAGAGUGAAUCUGGACUAUGACAGAGGAACAGUGUCAUUCUCUGAUCCUGUAACUAACACACAUCUACACACAUUCACAACCUCCUUCACUCACACACUCUUUCCUUUCUUCUGCUGUUAUGAUUAUUCUUCUUCUCUGAGGAUCUUAUCGAUCAGUAGUUGAUGAUAAAGGAUUAGACUAAAUCAUCUUAAUCAUAUCUGACCAAUGAGAAACAGUGAUGUGUCACAGAUCCUGAUUAAAUGAUCAUAUCAUAUUAAUUGAAGUAAAUGGUCUAGAAAUACUUUAUUCAGCUGUUUAUGAAUCUGAUUCUCAGAUCAAAUGAUCAAAUCUGAGUCAGUUACACAACAAAUAUUAAUAAUCACUUGUAUAAACUAACAAUGUGUGAUUUCAUGAUUUCAGUCUCAUUUUCAGAUUGAAACAUUAAAAGUUUGUCAUGAUUGUUAGGUUUUAAACUGUGGUCAAAUGUCUGGAAACCCUGAUUUUUUCUUUGUUUCUCAAACUAAAUAUUCAAGUCACUUUUAUUUCUAAAGAACUUUAUAUAAUUCAGUUUAAUUCAAAGCAGCUUUAUAUUAAUAAACAGGAAAAUAACAGCAUCAGUGUUGGAAACUGAAUUAAUUUGUUCCUAAUGUCAGAUAUGAAGCAGAUCUUCAGAAGAGAGUAUAUCGCGUCAUUAUUCAGAUGAUGGUUAUGUUCUGUUUGGGUUUAGUUUUCCCCGUGUUUCUGUUUCCUGAUUGAAUUAUUCAUUAGUUUCUCUGGUUUGGAUUGUUUCAGUUUUCUAGUGUUGAAGUCCUGUGUUUUGCCUCAGCUCCUCAGUUCUGCUCCUGAUGUUAUCUGUGUUGGUUUUCUGUGAGGAUGUUAUUAAAGAUGUGACAUGAAGUCAAACAUUAA